rnacentral:tRNA from 1 species
CAAAGUAUAAUAUAUAUUUAUUAUCAAAAGUUGCAAGCUUUUUUAAGGAAGAUUCCUACUUUGU